CUUCUUUGUUUCCUCUGAAUGUUCUGGGAACACAUUCAGGUCACGACAUGUUGCGGUCUACAGCAAAUCUUUUGCUCAGACAUACUCUUGCUGUGACCUUUCCCACAAUCAGGGCAGAUGGCCAAACACACCCUGGAUUGCCUCCAAUUUUCAUUCUUUGAAGAGAUGGCAUGGUCUCGGCAGCUUUGCACUUCUGCCUUGAAAAACAAGUUGAGAUGAUGUUAUUUGGAGCUUCUGCUAACUUUAGAACAGAAUUCAGAACCGUGUCUGAAAGUUUGAAGGCUAACAAAGGGCUCAUUGGGGGACCAUAAAAAGAAAAGCAGGGAUUCAAGUUUGAAUGGAAAUACCAGCUCCUGUGUGUUUGUCUCAUUUUCUUCAGAGGAUGCCCACGAGGUUUUCUUUUCAAAUGUGCACAUGGAAGAGUCCAGACCAGGACUUGCAGAGACGGCUGCAGGGACUAGACAGAACGUUCUGCCUUUAGUCAUGCAACUCUUCAUUUAUUGGACUCUGCACUGCAUAAUGGGAGAUUAUGCAAGUCAGAAUUACCUACUGAGCCUCAGUGCACAGAAACAAAGAAACAUGAAGACCAGAAGUUGGCACUUGAUGCAGGUUCUCAAUGUCUCUGUAGUCCACAGGAUCGGAGGAUUAAGCCACAUUUGUGUGGGGACAGAAAAGCAACACGGUAUCUCUAACAGGACAGAUCAAGCCUCGUUGCCACCAGACUCCGGCUGGCACGGCGGUGGAUCCAAAAUGAAAGGCGACUCAGUCGGGCGUUUGUCCACGUGUAGUCCUUUCCGCUGUGCCGCAUGUCUCAGAUGA
rnacentral:lncRNA from 1 species